GGCUGAACCAGCCAAGUCGCGUGAGGGAUGAAGGUUCUAUGGAUCGUAAACCUCUUUUAUAAGGGAAUAAAGUGCGGGACGUGUCCCGUUUUGUAUGUACCUUAUGAAUAAGGAUCGGCUAACUCCGUGCCAGCAGCCGCGGUAAUACGGAGGAUCCGAGCGUUAUCCGGAUUUAUUGGGUUUAAAGGGUGCGUAGGCGGCCUUUUAAGUCAGCGGUGAAAGUCUGUGGCUCAACCAUAGAAUUGCCGUUGAAACUGGGGGGCUUGAGUAUGUUUGAGGCAGGCGGAAUGCGUGGUGUAGCGGUGAAAUGCAUAGAUAUCACGCAGAACCCCGAUUGCGAAGGCAGCCUGCCAAGCCAUUACUGACGCUGAUGCACGAAAGCGUGGGGAUCAAACAGGAUUAGAUACCCUGGUAGUCCACGCAGUAAACGAUGAUCACUAGCUGUUUGCGAUACACUGUAAGCGGCACAGCGAAAGCGUUAAGUGAUCCACCUGGGGAGUACGCCGGCAACGGUGAAACUCAAAGGAAUUGACGGGGGCCCGCACAAGCGGAGGAACAUGUGGUUUAAUUCGAUGAUACGCGAGGAACCUUACCCGGGUUUGAACGCAUUCGGACCGAGGUGGAAACACCUUUUCUAGCAAUAGCCGUUUGCGAGGUGCUGCAUGGUUGUCGUCAGCUCGUGCCGUGAGGUGUCGGCUUAAGUGCCAUAACGAGCGCAACCCUUGCCACUAGUUACUAACAGGUAAAGCUGAGGACUCUGGUGGGACUGCCAGCGUAAGCUGCGAGGAAGGCGGGGAUGACGUCAAAUCAGCACGGCCCUUACAUCCGGGGCGACACACGUGUUACAAUGGCGUGGACAAAGGGAGGCCACCUGGCGACAGGGAGCGAAUCCCCAAACCACGUCUCAGUUCGGAUCGGAGUCUGCAACCCGACUCCGUGAAGCUGGAUUCGCUAGUAAUCGCGCAUCAGC
rnacentral:rRNA from 1 species